AUUGAACGCUGGCGGCAUGCCUUACACAUGCAAGUCGAACGGUAACAGGUCUUCGGAUGCUGACGAGUGGCGAACGGGUGAGUAAUACAUCGGAACGUGCCUAGUAGUGGGGGAUAACUACUCGAAAGAGUGGCUAAUACCGCAUGAGAUCUACGGAUGAAAGCAGGGGAUCGCAAGACCUUGUGCUACUAGAGCGGCCGAAGGCAGAUUAGGUAGUUGGUGGGAUAAAAGCUUACCAAGCCGACGAUCUGUAGCUGGUCUGAGAGGACGAUCAGCCACACUGGGACUGAGACACGGCCCAGACUCCUACGGGAGGCAGCAGUGGGGAAUGUUGGACAAUGGGCGCAAGCCUGAUCCAGCAAUGCCGCGUGCAGGAUGAAGGCCUUCGGGUUGUAAACUGCUUUUGUACGGAACGAAAAGCCCUGGGUUAAUACCCUGGGGUCAUGACGGUACCGUAAGAAUAAGCACCGGCUAACUACGUGCCAGCCGCCGCCGUAA
rnacentral:rRNA from 1 species